rnacentral:rRNA from 1 species
UACGUAGGGGGCGAGCGUUGUCCGGAUUUACUGGGCGUAAAGGGCGCGUAGGCGGCGUGACAAGUCACUUGUGAAAUCUCCGGGCUUAACUCGGAACGGUCAAGUGAUACUGUUGUGCUAGAGUACAGAAGGGGCAAUCGGAAUUCUUGGUGUAGCGGUGAAAUGCGUAGAUAUCAAGAGGAACACCAGAGGCGAAGGCGGAUUGCUGGGCUGAUACUGACGCUGAGGCGCGAAAGCUAGGGUAGCAAACGGG